GAAGAAGACCGUCACAGCAGCUAUGUUGUUGUCCGCCCAGGUCUGACCACUGAUGAGGCGAGGGAGAACUAUCUUGGCCCAUCUGGAGUUGUAGCCUGAAAGUCCUCUGUUUACAACGUCACACUUUCUGAGAGGAACCGCUGCGUUGGAUGAGAUGAAACGGUUUGACUGAUGGUUUCCCUGACCAUCUGAAAUGGUCAGGAUCUACUGAACCAAGGUCAAACCAAGGAGGAGCUAAAGUGUGUCUCUGGUCCGAGCGCUGAGGUGUUAAUGGAAAAACCUGCGACCUCAAUUAACAUAAUCAAUUAAACACUCCAGUGCUCAGAUCAUACAGGAAGAGAACGGCAGUUGGCCGAGUUUUCCUUUGAACUGGAGAACGGUGUGGCAUCGCUCCCAGACCUUUGACUGUCAAAAGAACAAGACGGUCACGGAGAACGUCGGCACUCCUGAGUGAAAGGAAUCAACGUUUGAAACACAUCAUCAGCGGAAAUGAAAAAUAAACUCAAUCUGAAAAUAUUUGAUAAUAAAAAGCUGACGGUAAACAGUACCUGCAGCUCAGAUCCAUAUUUACUUGGACUUUUAUUUAAAUAAUACCAUUAUUGGUCCAUCCGUUCCUGAUUUUCACAAUGUAUUCUGUCAUUUUACCCAACAAUUGCGUUAAAAAAACCCUUAUGGAAAUAUACAGCGUGUCCACAGAGCCAACAUCAGGUCAUUACUUUGACAAAUUCAGUCAUAAGUUAAACCCUGGGGUGUCCAUGUUUUUCCGCAGAGGCCAAUUUUGAGAACCACACGCUGCAAAGGAAAUAAUUGCCUAUAAAAUACAGUGUUUCUUAAUAUUAUUACUCGGUUUAUUUAAAGCAUUGAAGCUUUUACUGGAAUGGCAACGUAAUAAACACAGCCGUUUUUUUAUUUAUUUUAUUUAAAGAAACGUUAGAGUACUGUGAGAGAAUGAUGGUGGUGAUGGAGGGUAAAGAUACUGCAGAAAAGCAUGGGAACGACUGCAAAUUAUAAAUUAAUUGUUUAAAUAUUAAAUGUCUGAUCCUGGGGGUGGGGCAUAAGAAGCAGAUGACAUUUUUAUUAACUCAAUAAUUUGAACUUUUUUUACCUUGAGGCCCAAUUUUUAUCGUACAAAGUGACUUGGAGCCCAAUAAAUUAUACUCAAACUCAAACCCAUUUUUUUCAUACUUAUUGCUACAUAUUGCUACAUCUAUGGUUAAGAAUCGGUUCUGCAGGAGAACUUUAACAAAGGUUUCUCACAUGGAGAGCAUUUCAGAAGUGAGUGUGAACUUGGCACAAUUUCUCCAGCGAUGUGUCGGAAAUUUGGAUCAUUGUAAUCAGUUGAAAAUGUCUGUAAACAAAGGAGUCAUUCAUCCACGAGGGGCUGGACCCUGAGUUUAUCCCACCUGUUCCUCAAUCAUGAUGUCAUGGCGGAGUGGAAAAAGUGACUCUCGCUUCAAUCCCUUUCUGUGUGUGUGUGUGUGUGUUGCUAUGACAUGUUGUCAGUUCCUGCUAAUACUCUGGAUGUUUGUGGCUCAAUUUUGACCAAGAAUGGCUGCUCCGACACACCCUGCCCUCCCCCUCCGAUUAUAAAUUCACAAUUACUUUUUCACCAAGACUUUCUGCGUACAGUGUGACAUCUGCUCCGGCCAUUGUUCCGUGCGCAGCUGUCUGCUGGAAGCUAGGUUCUAAAGUGGAAACACAUUGUGCAGGAGGGCCACAGGAAUAAGAUUUAAAGAUCUUCAUACGCGGCGGUGUUAGAAGCACAGCAGCCCCAUCCAGCAGCUCUCCACAUGGACGUGUCAGUCUGCGCAGUUUGCAUGCAAACAAGCUCUAUAUUGAGGAUGGGCUCCACUGGUGAAAGAGGCCACUGUUUUCAGUUAAAUAAAGUCCUAGACAGCUUGUACUUUUCCCCACUUUUUCCAGUGGCUGCUACAAAUAGAGGUCCCCUGCACAAUUUCAAACUCUGUGUGAUAUAAUAACAGAAGAAUGUGGGUUAUUUAUUCAAAGAGAGCAUUCAUCACACAGGAGAAUUUAUUUAUUUAUUUAUUUAUUUUUUACCGGGUCAGUAUUUCCAUGCAGUGGUCCCUGAUUCAAAUGCAUGGCGGUGACUCACCAGGUGCUCCACAGUCGUGGACUGUACCUGCUGAAUGAGCCCAGUGACCCGGCUUUACAGUACAGCUCUCCACCGAGGUGGAGAAAUCAGACUGACAGGAAAGGCAGAUGGUAAUGAAAGCAAGGAGACGCAUGUGUGUGUGUGUGUGUGUGUGUGUGUGUGUGUGGAGAAGGGCACGACUGGUGUUGUUUGAUCCUGCUGACCUCACUCACUGAGCUGCUGUGUCUCUGGACAGCAGAUGUUCACUGGGGGCCUACUAUGUGUGCGUGUUCAUUUCAUUUCAUUUCAUGUUCAGGGACAUGAGGCCUAAGUAUCCAGCCAGGGUCAGCCUGGGUCUGGGGCUCUUCAUUUAGUAACUUGCCAGGAGACGUUGGAAGGCUGAAAGAAUGUGUGAACACAGCCCAGAUUGUGAUUUAAAGGCUGCCCAUGGUUUUGCCGCCGCCGCCUAAAUACUAUUUAUACCGGUAGCGGUCCUGUCGGGGUAGCUGGGAAAAGGGCAGAUUUUUUUUUUUUUUUUUAAAUCUCAAACCACAGGAAAAACACAAGACUGCUGGGAGCAGAGGUUGCUAAUUCUUUUUUAAGUAUUGACAAAAAUUCACGCAUGAGAGAAAGUUUUCACUGUAGUUUCAGACUGUGACUAACAAUAGAUUUUUUUCUUCUGCUUCUUCUCUGCCUUGUUUCCCCAACAGGGUUUGGGAGUUACAAUAUGUGUUUCUUUGUUUUUACUGUAGGCUGUGACCUGUUCACACUGUACUGUAGACACUACUAUUGUUGACUUAUUAUUCAAACGUUUAUAAAACUCAGGAAGAGAAACAAAAGGUCUUCUAUCACCACUUUUGAACAAAACAAAAAGCCACAAACAUGUGUAUUUUAUAUAUAUAUAUAUAUAUAUAUUUGAAUAUGUAUAUCCCUGCUGACAUGUGGAAACUAUUUUCUUUGUGCUAUUAAAUGUUCUAUGCAGUAAAACCGGGUUUACUAUAAACAGAGCUCCUUU